UGCGCAGGUGGGAUAGAUAGUCAGAGGUGAAAGCCUGCGGCUUAACCGUAGAAUUGCCUUUGAUACUUCUAUUCUUGAGUCCUGGAGAGGCCACUGGAAUUCGUGGUGUAGCGGUGAAAUGCGUAGAUAUCACGAGGAACACCAGUUGCGUAGGCGGGUGGCUGGACAGGUACUGACACUGAGGCACGAAAGCGUGGGGAGCAAACAGGAUUAGAUACCCUGGUAGUCC
rnacentral:rRNA from 1 species